rnacentral:rRNA from 1 species
AUAUUGGUCAAUGGGCGCAAGCCUGACCCAGCCACGCCUCGUGAGUGAUGAAGGCCUUNGGGUUGNANAGCUCUGUGGGGAGGGGNAAAAAACUUGGGUUCGAAUAGUGCUCGAGGUUGACGGUACCUCCUUAGCACUCACCGGCUAACUCUUUCCCAGCAGCCGCGGUAAGACAGAGCGUGCAAACGUUGCCCGGAAUCACUGGGGGUAAAGGGCGCGUAGGCGGAUCGGGAAGUCGUGUGUGAAAUCCCUGGGCUCAACCUAGGAACUGCAUUCGAAGCUCCCGGUCUAGAGUGACGGAGAGGAAAGCGGAAUUCCCGGUGUAGAGGUGAAAUUCGUAGAGAUUGGGAGGAACACCAGUGGCGAAGGCGACUUGCUGGGCCGUAACUGACGCUGAGGCGCGAAAGCGUGGGGAGCGAACAGG